rnacentral:tRNA from 1 species
GCGAGCGUAGCUCAGCGGGAGAGCGCCGCCUUCACACGGCGGAUGUCGUAGGUUCAAUCCCUACCGCUCGUACCA